UGAUGGGAAAAACCUAAUCAGUCUGGGUUCAUCAUGCUAAAGGGUAUUUGCUGAAAAUUCAUCACAUGUGAUCAGUGUAGAUUGCAUCCUGAUAUAACUGGAUUUGAAGGCUCAAACUUUUCUUCCUGAGUCACAGAAACAACAGGAGGUGAUGAGGACAGGAAGAAAGAAUUUCAGAGGUGAAAAAAAGAAUGACAAUUCACAAAACUAUAUUAACCUUUCAGAUUUAUUUUUUUUUAUAAAAAUAAUAACUAUUUAACUUUCCCUGUGCACUACAUUCAAUGUGUGCUUUCUGCUGUAUACCUAAGAAAAAAUUAACUUGCAAGUUUAAUUUUGUAACUUUAUCAUUGGAGAUAAUAAAUUAAUUUCAACUUUUAUAAAACAUUUUGCCAUUCUUAAGUGAAAAAAAAAAUAUUAUACUCUCCAUUCUACAGCUACUCCUCACUUGCUUUAAAACAAUUCUCAAAUAAGAAAUUCCAUUCUAACCUAUAAUUCUAAAGUUCUAAUUUUCAGAAGGGCUUCACUGGGUGAGUGCCAGCUCUCUUUUCUGUUCUUAUUUUCCUUCUUUGAGAAGUUAAUCUCCCCUUUUUUUUCUGUUUUUUUAAAUGUUUUUAAUCCUUUUUGCAAGAGUCACAUCUAAACUUUUCUGUUAUCAUUACCUUGCAGCAAUGUUACUAUUGCAGCCACAGUACCAGAGGCUAUUGAAUUUGAUUUUCAUUAUUCCUUUUACUGUCCUACUGGAUAUAUGACAUGCGAAUGUUUUAAUAUUACAUUUCUUUCUAAUCAUAUUACAUGUCUUUCUAUCCCCCAAAACAUGAGUAAUGCUAGUUUGCCAGGUAAAUCAAAUCAGCAAGUCUGGAUGACUUCUAACACUUCCCAGCAGACACAGGCUUUUGAUAAGAACUGCAGCAUGGGUUGAUUGUACCUUCAAAGGAAGUAUGUGGGUAAACCUGGGGAGCAUGUAACUAAGGCUUCAUCUCAAAAAGACAGAGCAGGAAAUGGAGAAUCAGAAUCCCACCUCCAGGCAAAAGAAUGCCUCUUGGCCAAGGAGCUACAGAUGCUUGCGCUCUCUGCAACAGACUAUCUAUCCAGCAAAACAAUAUCAAAAAAUUAAAAGGCAAACUGGGAGUGGAAAUCCUGGUCACAGGAUGCAAAAGUGGAACUACAUGAAUAUUUCAGAGACAUCUACAGAUUGUACAGUCAGAAUACCUCCACUACUAUUCUACAAGGAAUAUGCAGCAAGAGACGACAGUGCUUCCACCUAUGAAAAAGCUAUGGACUCCACAGUAUCUGCUCUGGCAUGCCAGCUGGCCUCUCCACACAUGUCUUCUGUCUCUCUCAUCAGCACGUAUGGAACAGAGAUGUGUGCUGUCACCUGGGAAGGAGGAAGAUGCAAAGAUUUUAAAGCAAUAAGCACAAACAUGGGCUCAGCAUUUUGA
rnacentral:lncRNA from 1 species